rfam:Zea mays cultivar B73 chromosome 5, whole genome shotgun sequence.
AUUCCAAUAAGGAUCUCAAGACCUACAGUUAGGGAAUGCUAUUUGACAAUGUAAGUAACAAUUGGUUAUUUUAGUUGUAGGUGUCCAUCCUGCGACCUCUGGUUUGGUCUGGGAUGGAGCACCCAUAUGUAUUUGAUAGAUUCAACUAUGGUGUGUGAUUUAAAUUGGGUCUUUGAGUUGU